UUAAGCGACUAAGCGUACACGGUGGAUGCCCUGGCAGUCAGAGGCGAUGAAGGGCGUGCUAAUCUGCGAUAAGCGCCGGUAAGGUGAUAUGAACCGUUAUAACCGGCGAUACCCGAAUGGGGAAACCCAGUGUGAUUCGUCACACUAUCAUUAACUGAAUCCAUAGGUUAAUGAGGCGAACCGGGGGAACUGAAACAUCUAAGUACCCCGAGGAAAAGAAAUCAACCGAGAUUCCCCCAGUAGCGGCGAGCGAACGGGGAGGAGCCCAGAGCCUGAAUCAGCAUGUGUGUUAGUGGAAGCGUCUGGAAAGGCGCGCGAUACAGGGUGACAGCCCCGUACACAAAAGCGCAUGUGCUGUGAGCUCGAUGAGUAGGGCGGGACACGUGGUAUCCUGUCUGAAUAUGGGGGGACCAUCCUCCAAGGCUAAAUACUCCUGACUGACCGAUAGUGAACCAGUACCGUGAGGGAAAGGCGAAAAGAACCCCGGCGAGGGGAGUGAAAAAGAACCUGAAACCGUGUACGUACAAGCAGUGGGAGCCCCACCACUAAGCCAGUGGUGAACUCCACAUACGCAUCCUUUGCUGAGGAUACGGUUAACGGAGCGAAAGCGACGUUCAACCUCAAAAGAAGCAGAGGGGGCUUAGUGGUGGGGUGACUGCGUACCUUUUGUAUAAUGGGUCAGCGACUUAUAUUCUGUAGCAAGGUUAACCGAAUAGGGGAGCCGGAGGGAAACCGAGUCUUAAUUGGGCGUUAAGUUGCAGGGUAUAGACCCGAAACCCGGUGAUCUAGCCAUGGGCAGGUUGAAGGUUGGGUAACACUAACUGGAGGACCGAACCGACUAAUGUUGAAAAAUUAGCGGAUGACCUGUGGCUGGGGGUGAAAGGCCAAUCAAACCGGGAGAUAGCUGGUUCUCCCCGAAAGCUAUUUAGGUAGCGCCUCGUGAACUCAUCUCCGGGGGUAGAGCACUGUUUCGGCUAGGGGGCCAUCCCGGCUUACCAACCCGAUGCAAACUGCGAAUACCGGAGAAUGUUAUCACGGGAGACACACGGCGGGUGCUAACGUCCGUCGUGAAGAGGGAAACAACCCAGACCGCCAGCUAAGGUCCCAAAGUCAUGGUUAAGUGGGAAACGAUGUGGGAAGGCCCAGACAGCCAGGAUGUUGGCUUAGAAGCAGCCAUCAUUUAAAGAAAGCGUAAUAGCUCACUGGUCGAGUCGGCCUGCGCGGAAGAUGUAACGGGGCUAAACCAUGCACCGAAGCUGCGGCAGCGAACGUAUCACCCAAGACAACUUUACGGAGUUGACGAUUGACGGAGCGAAGCGACGUCAAAGCGUUCAUUAAAGUCGAGUUGGCUUAGGGAUACGUUCGUUGGGUAGGGGAGCGUUCUGUAAGCCUGUGAAGGUGGCCUGUGAGGGUUGCUGGAGGUAUCAGAAGUGCGAAUGCUGACAUAAGUAACGAUAAAGCGGGUGAAAAGCCCGCUCGCCGGAAGACCAAGGGUUCCUGUCCAACGUUAAUCGGGGCAGGGUGAGUCGACCCCUAAGGCGAGGCCGAAAGGCGUAGUCGAUGGGAAACGGGUUAAUAUUCCCGUACUUGGUGUUACUGCGAAGGGGGGACGGAGAAGGCUAUGUUGGCCGGGCGACGGUUGUCCCGGUUUAAGCGUGUAGGCUGGUUUUCCAGGCAAAUCCGGAAAAUCAAGGCUGAGGCGUGACGACGAGGCACUACGGUGCUGAAGCAACAAAUGCCCUGCUUCCAGGAAAAGCCUCUAAGCAUCAGGUAACAUCAAAUCGUACCCCAAACCGACACAGGUGGUCAGGUAGAGAAUACCAAGGCGCUUGAGAGAACUCGGGUGAAGGAACUAGGCAAAAUGGUGCCGUAACUUCGGGAGAAGGCACGCUGACAUGUAGGUGAAGUGAUUUACUCAUGGAGCUGAAGUCAGUCGAAGAUACCAGCUGGCUGCAACUGUUUAUUAAAAACACAGCACUGUGCAAACACGAAAGUGGACGUAUACGGUGUGACGCCUGCCCGGUGCCGGAAGGUUAAUUGAUGGGGUCAGCGCAAGCGAAGCUCCUGAUCGAAGCCCCGGUAAACGGCGGCCGUAACUAUAACGGUCCUAAGGUAGCGAAAUUCCUUGUCGGGUAAGUUCCGACCUGCACGAAUGGCGUAAUGAUGGCCAGGCUGUCUCCACCCGAGACUCAGUGAAAUUGAACUCGCUGUGAAGAUGCAGUGUACCCGCGGCAAGACGGAAAGACCCCGUGAACCUUUACUAUAGCUUGACACUGAACAUUGAGCCUUGAUGUGUAGGAUAGGUGGGAGGCUUUGAAGUGUGGACGCCAGUCUGCAUGGAGCCGACCUUGAAAUACCACCCUUUAAUGUUUGAUGUUCUAACGUGGACCCGUUACCCGGGUUGCGGACAGUGUCUGGUGGGUAGUUUGACUGGGGCGGUCUCCUCCUAAAGAGUAACGGAGGAGCACGAAGGUUGGCUAAUCCUGGUCGGACAUCAGGAGGUUAGUGCAAUGGCAUAAGCCAGCUUGACUGCGAGCGUGACGGCGCGAGCAGGUGCGAAAGCAGGUCAUAGUGAUCCGGUGGUUCUGAAUGGAAGGGCCAUCGCUCAACGGAUAAAAGGUACUCCGGGGAUAACAGGCUGAUACCGCCCAAGAGUUCAUAUCGACGGCGGUGUUUGGCACCUCGAUGUCGGCUCAUCACAUCCUGGGGCUGAAGUAGGUCCCAAGGGUAUGGCUGUUCGCCAUUUAAAGUGGUACGCGAGCUGGGUUUAGAACGUCGUGAGACAGUUCGGUCCCUAUCUGCCGUGGGCGCUGGAGAACUGAGGGGGGCUGCUCCUAGUACGAGAGGACCGGAGUGGACGCAUCACUGGUGUUCGGGUUGUCAUGCCAAUGGCACUGCCCGGUAGCUAAAUGCGGAAGAGAUAAGUGCUGAAAGCAUCUAAGCACGAAACUUGCCCCGAGAUGAGUUCUCCCUGAGACUUAGAGUCUCCUGAAGGAACGUUGAAGACGACGACGUUGAUAGGCCGGGUGUGUAAGCGCAGCGAUGCGUUGAGCUAACCGGUACUAAUGAACCGUGAGGCUUAACCUU
rnacentral:rRNA from 1 species